AUGACUGCCAGCAAAAAACUUGGGAACCGAGAAUGCAAUCAUCCUUGUAAAAGUAAACAUACAUGUGGACAUGACUGCUGUAAAAUUGGAGUUGCACAGAAGUCAGAAAUUAAAGAGUCAACAAUUUCUUCAUAUUUAUCUGAUUUAAGAAACAGGAAUGCUGUUUCAUCUGUUCCUCCAGUUAAACGUCUGAAGAUACAGAUGAAUAAAUCUCAAAGUGUGGACCUUAAAGAGUUUGGUUUUACUCCAAAACCUUCCCUUCCUAGUAUAUCAAGGUCAGAAUAUUUAAACAUAUCUGAAUUACCUAUAAUGGAACAGUGGGAUCAGCCUGAAAUCUAUGGAAAAGUUAGACAAGAACCAUCUGAAUAUCAAGACAAAGAAGUUUUGAAUGUGAACUUUGAAUUGGGAAAUGAAGUUCGGGAUGAUUUUGAUGAGGAAAACUUAGAAGUUACUAGCUUUUCAACUGAUACUGAGAAGACAAAAAUAUCAGGUAAUCUGAAGGCAAAUCCUGUUUAGACCCAGGCGAAGGUUCCUGGUGACCCAGGCUCUCACCAGCAGAUUGUCCCUUACUGUCCUCCUGAGGGUGUCUGGAGCUUCAGUGCUCUGUGCUCUUGGCCUCCACACUGGGGGUGCCACCAACUCCCACUGUCCAGGGCUUCCAGUGGACUCUCCGAGGCACUGAUGUAGAAACGUCCCCAUUCGGUGCACCAAGAGCAGCCUCACACGGUGUGGGCCAACAGGAAGAGCUGCCAGAUCCAACAGGUAAAAGUCCGGAGGCAUCGCCAGCUCAAUGGGGUCAGAGAGUCCUCUUUCUGUUAUGACUCAGAUGUGAAGGGAAGACACCAAGG
rnacentral:lncRNA from 1 species